GACGAACGCUGGCGGCGUGCCUAACACAUGCAAGUCGAGCGGUAACAGGUGUAGCAAUACAUGCUGACGAGCGGCGGACGGGUGAGUAACGCUUGGGAAUCUGCCUGUUAGUGGGGGACA
rnacentral:rRNA from 1 species